GGAAACCUAGAAUAAAUUAGUCUGACUGGAUUCAGUCUGUCCCCAAAAAACUACCAGGCAGUGUCUUUCAUACUACAAGAAGUCUCAAGCUAUGUGCAAGCCUGCAUAGACUGAAUAGGAGCCAAAGCAGCAGCCUGCCGAAGGUAGGAUUACCUGGCUUUUGCUUUUCUUUUGAAUUUCUGACCGUCUAGAUGCUUAAUAAUCUUGGAGUUAAGUGAUGUUUAAAUCAUUUCUAGAACAAUAUCCUGAGAGACAGUAGAUAGCUUAACUUAUUUUCCACAAAGGCUAUAGAGUGUGUUUGACAAUAGGGUAACUGAAUUUCUCUUGUGCUAUGGGGUACUGAAGAAAAACAUCCCUCAAAGAGAGGAAAUGGGCAGAUCUCAUUACGUGGGUAAAAUCUACUUGCAAUAACAUUUAAAUGAUAUUUUAAAUCACAUAUUGUAUAUUAAAUAUAAUAUUUUGUUAAAAAUGAAAUGAGUGCAUUUAUAACACAACUAAAUACCACUUCUAAUUUUGUUCACAAAAAAAUACUGGUGUUAUAAAUUCCUUAUAAUUUAACAAAUGUUAUAGUUAAU
rnacentral:lncRNA from 1 species